rnacentral:piRNA from 1 species
CACUCAGAAAGGAGCAGGAUGAGGGAAUGC